GGAAGGAUGAGAAGCUUCGACUAAGGUUCGACUCGAGCGAAGCGAGAGAACGUUGCCGCAGGCAACGGCCCGAAGGGCGAGGAGCGAUAGCGACGAGUUAUCCUUCCCCCACCACCA
rnacentral:sRNA from 1 species